rnacentral:rRNA from 1 species
AGAGUUUGAUCCUGGCUCAGGACGAACGCUGGCGGCGUGCUUAACACAUGCAAGUCGAACGGUGACGAGAGAGCUUGCUCUCUCUGAUCAGUGGCGAACGGGUGAGUAACACGUGAGUAACCUGCCCCUUACUCUGGGAUAACUUCGGGAAACUGGAGCUAAUACCGGAUACGAGACGCACAGGCAUCUGUAGCGUUUGGAAAGAAUUUCGGUAAGGGAUGGACUCGCGGCCUAUCAGCUUGUUGGUGAGGUAAUGGCUCACCAAGGCGACGACGGGUAGCCGGCCUGAGAGGGCGACCGGCCACACUGGAACUGAGACACGGUCCAGACUCCUACGGGAGGCAGCAGUGGGGAAUAUUGCACAAUGGGCGCAAGCCUGAUGCAGCAACGCCGCGUGGAGGAUGAAGGCCUUCGGGUUGUAAACUCCUUUCAGCAGGGAAGAAGCGAAAGUGACGGUACCUGCAGAAGAAGCGUCGGCUAACUACGUGCCAGCAGCCGCGGUAAUACGUAGGACGCAAGCGUUGUCCGGAAUUAUUGGGCGUAAAGAGCUCGUAGGCGGUUUGUCGCGUCUGCUGUGAAAACCCGAGGCUCAACCUCGGGCCUGCAGUGGGUACGGGCAAACUAGAGUGUGGUAGGGGAGACUGGAAUUCCUGGUGUAGCGGUGGAAUGCGCAGAUAUCAGGAGGAACACCAAUGGCGAAGGCGGGUCUCUGGGCCACAACUGACGCUGAGGAGCGAAAGCGUGGGGAGCGAACAGGAUUAGAUACCCUGGUAGUCCACGCCGUAAACGGUGGGCACUAGAUGUGGGGACCAUUCCAUGGUUUCCGCGUCGCAGCUAACGCAUUAAGUGCCCCGCCUGGGGAGUACGGCCGCAAGGCUAAAACUCAAAGGAAUUGACGGGGGCCCGCACAAGCGGCGGAGCAUGCGGAUUAAUUCGAUGCAACGCGAAGAACCUUACCAAGGCUUGACAUAUGCCGUUUAUCCCUAGAGAUAGGGAGUCCUUCGGGGCGGUAUACAGGUGGUGCAUGGUUGUCGUCAGCUCGUGUCGUGAGAUGUUGGGUUAAGUCCCGCAACGAGCGCAACCC